rnacentral:rRNA from 1 species
CAUAGCCGCGGUAAAACGAAGGGUGCAAGCGUUACUCGGAAUUACUGGGCGUAAAGCGUGUGUAGGUGGUUGUUUAAGUCUGUCGUGAAAGCCCUGGGCUCAACCUGGGAAUUGCGAUGGAUACUGGGCGACUAGAGUGCGGUAGAGGAUAGUGGAAUUUCCGGUGUAGCAGUGAAAUGCGUAGAGAUCGGAAGGAACAUCUGUGGCGAAGGCGACUAUCUGGGCCAACACUGACACUGAGACACGAAAGCGUGGGGAGCAAACAGGAUUAGAUACCCCAGUAGUCCCUGUCUCUUAUACA